rnacentral:misc_RNA from 1 species
UUAACUAUUAUAUAGUACUCAGACAUCACUAAAAACAGAGUUUGUUUCCUCUGGCAGGCACGACACAAGCCGAAGCCCGUGGUGUUUCCACGGCCUGCCAAAGCAACUAAGGUAUAAUAUUCAAGGGUGGGAGAUCUACCCGUAAGGGCAUGAACUCUGUAAUGAUCCUUCCGCAGGUUCACCUACGGAAA